UACGUAGGGGGCAAGCGUUGUCCGGAAUCAUUGGGCGUAAAGAGCGUGUAGGCGGUUCGGUAAGUCUGCUGUGAAAGUCCAGGGCUCAACCCUGGAAUGCCAGUGGAAACUGCCGAGCUAGAGUCCGGAAGAGGCGAGUGGAAUUCCUGGUGUAGCGGUGAAAUGCGCAGAUAUCAGGAGGAACACCAAUGGCGAAAGCAGCUCGCUGGGACGGUACUGACGCUGAGACGCGAAAGCGUGGGGAGCAAACAGG
rnacentral:rRNA from 1 species